rnacentral:rRNA from 1 species
UGCGUAGGUGGUGAGGUAAGUCGGAUGUGAAAUCUCCGGGCUCAACCCGGAAAUGGCAUUGGAAACUACCUUGCUGGAGGAUUUGAGGGGGGAUUGGAAUACUUGGUGUAGCAGUGAAAUGCGUAGAUAUCAAGUGGAACACCAGUGGCGAAGGCGAAUCCCUGGAAAAUACCUGACACUGAGGCACGAAAGCUAGGGGAGAAC